CUACACACGUGCUACAAUGGCCGGUACAGACGGGCGCAAAGCCGCGAGGUGGAGCAAAUCCUAAAAAAGCCGGUCUCAGUUCGGAUUGCAGGCUGCAAUUCGCCUGCAUGAAGUCGGAAUCGCUAGUAAUCGCAGGUCAGCAUACUGCGGUCGAAUACGUUCCGGGCCUU
rnacentral:rRNA from 1 species